UACGUAGGGGGCAAGCGUUUGUCCGGAAUCAUUGGGCGUAAAGAGCGCGUAGGCGGUCCGGUAAGUCCGCUGUGAAAGUCGGGGGGCUCAACCCUCGAAUGCCGGUGGAUACUGUCGGGCUAGAGUCCGGAAGAGGCGAGUGGAAUUCCUGGUGUAGCGGUGAAAUGCGCAGAUAUCAGGAGGAACACCAAUGGCGAAGGCAGCUCGCUGGGACGGUACUGACGCUGAGGCGCGAAAGCGUGGGGAGCA
rnacentral:rRNA from 1 species